UUUUGGAUUUUCUUGCUUAUCUUAGUGGCGGACGGGCGAGUAACGCGUGAGCAACCUGCCCCUCAGUGGGGAACAACAGUUGGAAACGACUGCUAAUACCGCAUAAUGUACCGCCGGGGCAUCCCGGUGGCACCAAAGGAGCAAUUCGCUGAAAGAUGGGCUCGCGUCUGAUUAGAUAGUUGGUGAGGUAACGGCUCACCAAGUCGACGAUCAGUAGCCGGACUGAGAGGUUGAUCGGCCACAUUGGGACUGAGACACGGCCCAGACUCC
rnacentral:rRNA from 1 species